rnacentral:ncRNA from 2 species
AUCUUAUCAAGAGAGGCGGAGGAACUGGUCCUAUGAAACCUCAGCAACCACAGUGUUUUUUCUGUAAGGUGCUAAUUCCUGAAGAUAAGAA